CCUUCUCGGGGACCAUCUGCAAAAGGAAGGGGCCCAAAACUGGCUGGGCCUGUCCCCCAACUCGUUCCCCGGGCGGGCUGCUCCGAGCCCCUGCCCUGCCUGCACACAAGUCGCCCCCGGGGCCACAGGCAUUCCUUGGGGGGCCCCGAACCCUGGCCUCGCUCCUCCCACCCCCCGAGGAGCUCCCCGGGCGAGGCUGACCCCGACCAGUCCUUGCUCCGAGGAUCGGUUACAGGGGUCCCAGGGUGAUGGACCCCCGGGGUCAGGGGGCCCGAACCCCACCCCCGCCUCUGUGACCCCGACAGCAACAGCUGCUGCUAUUACUCAGUCAGCACUUAAGCACGUCCGGUUCACCCAGAACUUAGGGGCUGACACGGCCACGACAACCGGCUGCGAGACGGGCGUGUUACCCCCAUUUUACAGAAGAGGAAACGGAGACUCACACUUGCCCAGGCACAGAGCCAGCAGGGGUCGAGGCAGGAUUCUAACUUGGGUCUUCCCGGGUCCAAAUGCAGGGGACUCUAGCUCACUCCCCACCCCAGACUGACCCCCCCGCCCCGGUCUAUGUGGUCAAUAGCACGUGGGCCCCUCGAAGGCAAGGACGGCCCUGGCCCAGAUUUCACCGAAGGUUCCUGGCCCCCAGACUCCCCCGGGCCGCCCCCGCCGCGCCCUCACCUUGGCCAUCCGCUCCUUCUUGUCCCACCACUCGUCGAAGGCCCGGAAGGCCACCACCUCCACCAUCUUGCGGUUCAGGUCGCGCUUCAUGAUGGCCUUGAGCUCCUUGACGAUCACCAGCAGGACGCCGUCCACCGUGGCCUUGUGGGGGUCCUCCUUCUUGGGCAUGUAGCCCGGCGGGGGCACCGAGGGGUCGAACUUGGGCAGCGGCGGCCACUGCUGGCCCCGGCCCACGGCGGCGCCCACCGAGAAGGGCCGGUAGGGGGGCAGGUUCACGAACUGCAUGCCGCUGCCCAUGAAGGGCGGGUACUGGCCCGCCCUGGCCCGACCGGGCUGAGCACCGCCGCAUCUGGAAGGACAUGGGCAUCCCGCCCACGGCCCCCAGCCGUUUACUGGUCCACCGCACUGGGGAACAUGCCCGGGGGGAGGGGGGCAGCGGG
rnacentral:lncRNA from 1 species